CAUCGUGAGGUGAAAUCUGAAGGAAGCUGGAUGUGGGAGCAGACUAACCAUGGGCAAACCUUUGGCCUGACGAACGGAAAUCACAUAAAAUCACAUAUAAGGCAACGCAUGAGGGUAAGACUGCUGAACAAGGCGAAGCCCGAUAACUACACGGAAUCAUGCGGGGUAAAUGUGGCAGGUAGACGGAGAAAAAGAA
rnacentral:ncRNA from 1 species